AGUGAACGCUGGCGGCAUGCCUAACACAUGCAAGUCGAGCGGAAGCACAGUAAGAGCUUGCCUCUCCGGGUGGCGAGUGGCGGACGGGUGAGGCAUAUAUCGGACUCUACUAUUUCGCUGGGGAUAACGUAGGGAAACUGACGCUAAUACGGCAUAUGUCUAACGUGUGAUAGCACAAGAUCGUCAGACCUUGCGCGUGUCAAUGAGACGUUGACGUAUUAGCUAGUUGGUGGGGUAAAGGCUCACCAAGGCCACGAUCCGUAGCUGAUCUGAGAGGAUGAUCAGCCACACUGGAACUGAGACACGGUCCAGACUCCUACGGGAGGCAGCAGUAGGGAAUCUUCGGCAAUGGGCGAAAGCCUGACGCAGCAAUGCCGCGUGAGUGAAGAAGGUUUUCGGAUCGUAAAGCCCUGUUGUUAGGGAAGAACAGCUGCGUGUGUAACUGCCCGUGUUUUGACGGUACCCAACGAGAAAGCAACGGCUAACUACGUG
rnacentral:rRNA from 1 species